rnacentral:rRNA from 1 species
GAUGAACGCUAGCGGUAGGCCUAAUACAUGCAAGUCGAACGGUGUCUUCGGACAUAGUGGCGCACGGGUGCGUAACACGUAUGCAACCUACCUUACAUUGGGGGAUAGCCUUUCGAAAGGGAGAUUAAUACCGCAUAAGACAGUAGCUGGGCAUCCAGCAGCUGUUAAAGAUUUAUCGAUGUAAGCUGGGCAUGCGUCCAAUUAGCUAGUUGGUGAGGUAACGGCUCACCAAGGCUAUGAUUGGUAGGGGAACUGAGAGGUCAAUCCCCCACACUGGCACUGAGAGACGGGCCAGACUCCUACGGGAGGCAGCAGUAGGGAAUAUUGGGCAAUGGACGCAAGUCUGACCCAGCCAUGCCGCGUGCAGGAUGAAGGCGUUAUGCGUUGUAAACUGCUUUUAUACAGGAAGAAACGACUCUUGCGAGAGGCAUUGACGGUACUGUAUGAAUAAGCACCGGCUAACUCCGUGCCAGCCGCCGCCGUAAAAC